UAGGGAAUCUUCGGCAAUGGGGGGAACCCUGACCGAGCAACGCCGCGUGAGUGAAGAAGGUUUUCGGAUCGUAAAGCUCUGUUGUUAAGGAAGAACGAGUGUGAGAAUGGAAAGUUCAUACUGUGACGGUACUUAACCAGAAAGGGACGGCUAACUACGUGCCAGCAGCCGCGGUAAUACGUAGGUCCCGAGCGUUGUCCGGAUUUAUUGGGCGUAAAGCGAGCGCAGGCGGUUAGAUAAGUCUGAAGUUAAAGGCAGUGGCUCAACCAUUGUAGGCUUUGGAAACUGUUUAACUUGAGUGCAGAAGGGGAGAGUGGAAUUCCAUGUGUAGCGGUGAAAUGCGUAGAUAUAUGGAGGAACACCGGUGGCGAAAGCGGCUCUCUGGUCUGUAACUGACGCUGAGGCUCGAAAGCGUGGGGAGCGAACAGGAUUAGAUACCCUGGUAGUCCACGCCGUAAACGAUGAGUGCUAGGUGUUAGGUCCUUUCCGGGACUUAGUGCUGCAGCUAACGCAUUAAGCACUCCGCCUGGGGAGUACGACCGCAAGGUUG
rnacentral:rRNA from 1 species